rnacentral:rRNA from 1 species
UACAGAGGUCCCAAGCGUUGUUCGGAUUCACUGGGCGUAAAGGGUGCGUAGGUGGUGAGGUAAGUCGGAUGUGAAAGCUCGGAGCUCAACUCCGAAAUGGCAUUGGAAACUACCUUGCUCGAGGGUUGGAGGGGGGACUGGAAUGCUUGGUGUAGCAGUGAAAUGCGUAGAUAUCAAGCGGAACACCAGUGGCGAAGGCGAGUCCCUGGACAACUCCUGACGCUGAGGCACGAAAGCUAGGGGAGCAAACGGG